rnacentral:rRNA from 1 species
CCUACGGGAGGCAGCAGUGGGGGAUAUUGCACAAUGGGGGGAACCCUGAUGCAGCGACGCCGCGUGGGUGAAGAAGCGCCUCGGCGCGUAAAGCCCUGUCAGCAGGGAAGAAAAUGACGGUACCUGAAGAAGAAGCCCCGGCUAACUACGUGCCAGAAGCCGCGGGAAUACGUAGGGGGCAAGCGUUAGCCGGAUUUACUGGGUGUAAAGGGGGCGCAGACGGCGAUGCAAGCCAGGAGUGAAAGCCCGGGGCCCAACCCCGGGACUGCUCUUGGAACUGCGUGGCGGGAGUGCAGGAGGGGCAGGCGGAAUUCCUGGUGUAGCGGUGAAAUGCGUAGAUAUCAGGAGGAACACCGGUGGCGAAGGCGGCCUGCUGGACUGCAACUGACGUUGAGGCCCGAAAGCGUGGGGAGCAAACAGGAUUAGAUACCCCGGUAGUC